rnacentral:snRNA from 1 species
AAAUGUUACAGCAUUUUUAGAAUUAGUCUAGCAGGUCCGCACUGGAAGGGCCAUA